UUUCCGUAGGUGAACCUGCGGAAGGAUCAUUAAUGAGUUGUCAUGGGGUUCGAUGCUGGCAGCCAAUUUUUGGAUGCAUGUGCUUGCCCUAACAAUCAUCUUCCAAACACCUGUGCACAUUUUUGAGGGAGUCUUGAGUUGGUUGCCGCUCUUGGGUGAUUUUCUCACAUUCCCUUAAAUCAUUAUACGCUAUUAACAAUGUUGAACGUGCUCUGUGCCGCAAGGCUAUUAAUAUGAUACAACUUUUAACAACGGAUCUCUUGGCUCUU
rnacentral:misc_RNA from 1 species